rnacentral:hammerhead_ribozyme from 1 species
AUCCAGAUGAGAAGUCCAAAAUAGGACGAAAUAUACAUCCUGGAC